rnacentral:rRNA from 1 species
AUAAACGCUGGCGGCGUGCCUAAUACAUGCCAGUCGAGCGAACAGAUGAGGAGCUUGCUCCUCUGACGUUAGCGGCGGACGGGUGAGUAACACGUGGAUAACCUACCUAUAAGACUGGGAUAACUUCGGGAAACCGGAGCUAAUACCGGAUAAUAUAUUGAACCGCAUGGUUCAAUAGUGAAAGACGGUUUUGCUGUCACUUAUAGAUGGAUCCGCGCCGCAUUAGCUAGUUGGUAAGGUAACGGCUUACCAAGGCAACGAUGCGUCGCCGACCUGAGAGGGUGAUCGGCCACACUGGAGCUGAGACACGGUCCAGACUCCUACGGGAGGCAGCAGUAGGGAAUCUUCCGCAAUGGGCGAAAGCCUGACGGAGCAACGCCGCGUGAGUGAUGAAGGUCUUCGGAUCGUAAAACUCUGUUAUUAGGGAAGAACAAAUGUGUAAGUAACUAUGCACGUCUUGACGGUACCUAAUCAGAAAGCCACGGCUAACUACGUG